GAUUGGCAGGAAUUAUGAAUCAAUUAUAUAUGCGAAGUCUCCUUAUGAGCUUAACUUUUGAGGCAUACCAAUCAGCUCAUGUGUAUU
rfam:Oryza brachyantha chromosome 9, whole genome shotgun sequence.